rnacentral:rRNA from 1 species
UACAGAGGGUGCAAGUGUUAAUCGGAAUUACUGGGCGUAAAGCGCGCGUAGGUGGUUUGUUAAGUUGGAUGUGAAAUCCCCGGGCUCAACCUGGGAACUGCAUUCAAAACUGACAAGCUAGAGUAUGGUAGAGGGUGGUGGAAUUUCCUGUGUAGCGGUGAAAUGCGUAGAUAUAGGAAGGAACACCAGUGGCGAAGGCGACCACCUGGACUGAUACUGACACUGAGGUGCGAAAGCGUGGGGAGCAAACAGG